rnacentral:rRNA from 1 species
CGGUUGAUCCUGCCGGAGGUCGCUGCUAUUAGGAUUCGACUUAGCCAUGCAAGUCAAGGGGUUUCUUCGGAAACACCGGCAGAACGCUCAGUAACACGUCGAUAAUCUACCCUUAGGUCAGGGAUAACCUCGGAAAACUGAGACUAAUACCUGAUAAGAGAAUUCUCCUGGAAUGGUUUUUCUCAUAAAGAUUACGCCUAAGGACGAGUCGGCGGCCGAUUAGGCUGUUGGUGAGGUAACGUAUUUCUGAAAGAAAUAGUUAAAAUUCUUUCUGAAUUUUAUAAGCUCACCAAACCAACGAUCGGUAGGGGCCUUGAGAGAGGUAGCCUCGAGAAGGGUACUGAGAAACUGACCCUAACCCUACGGGGUGCAGCAGGCGCGAAACCUUUACAAUACACGAAAGUGUGAUAAGGGAAUCCUAAGUGCUUAUGUUUAGCAUAGGCUUUUGCUAAGAAUAAAAAUUUUAGCGAAUAAGUGGUGGGUAAGACUGGUGCCAGCAGCCGCGGUAACACCAGCGCCACGAGUGGCGACCAUAUUUAUUGGGCCUAAAGCGUCCGUAGCCUGUUUAGUAAAUCUUCUGUGAAAUCAUUAGGCUCAACUUAAUGAAAUGCAAAGGACACUGCUAAACUAGGAACCGGGAGGAGUCGGAGGAAUUCUGGGGGGCGCGGUAAAAUGCGAUAAUCCUCGGAGGACCACCUGUGGCGAANGCGUCCGACUAGAACGGGUUCGACGGUGAGGGACGAAAGCUAGGGGAGCAAACCGGAUUAGAUACCCGAGUAGUCCUAGCUGUAAACGUUGUGAGUUNNUGUU